GGCUGGGCAGCUAGGGAGGCCCAGGCGACGAAGCCUCCCGGACGGCGAACGGCAGGCGGUGGAGGAGGAGACGGCAGGUCGGGCAUUUUAAAAAUAUUUAAUCAUUCAUGAGUUGAGCUUCAUUCUUGAGUCAUGGAUGACAAGGCUUCUGUUGGAAAAAUCAGUGUGUCCUCAGACUCAGUAUCCACUCUUAAUAGUGAAGAUUUUGUCUUGGUUUCCAGGCAAGGAGAUGAGACACCAUCUACAAAUAAUGGGAGUGAUGACGAGAAAACAGGACUCAAGAUUAUAGGGAAUGGAAGUGAGCAGCAGCUGCAAAAAGAGUUGGCAGAUGUGCUAAUGGAUCCUCCAAUGGACGACCAGCCAGGGGAAAAGGAGCUUGUGGAAAGGUCGCAACUGGAUGGCGAAGGAGAUGGGCCUCUUUCUAAUCCGCUCUCAGCUUCAUCCACCAUUAACCCUGUGCCAUUAGUAGGGCUCCAAAAACCAGAGAUGAGCCUGCCAGUGCAACCUGGACAAGGAGAUUCUGAAGGGUCAAGUCCUUUCACACCAGUGGCUGAUGAGGACAGUGUGGUCUUUAGCAAGCUAACUUACUUAGGCUGUGCCUCAGUCAAUGCUCCCCGGAGUGAAGUGGAAGCCUUAAGGAUGAUGUCCAUCUUAAGAAGCCAGUGUCAGAUUUCACUGGAUGUAACCCUAUCAGUGCCAAAUGUGUCUGAGGGAACUGUGAGACUCUUAGAUCCUCAGACAAACACUGAAAUAGCAAACUAUCCUAUCUACAAAAUCCUCUUCUGUGUCAGAGGACAUGAUGGAACUCCUGAAAGUGACUGUUUUGCUUUCACUGAAAGUCAUUACAAUGCAGAGCUCUUUAGGAUACAUGUCUUCCGAUGUGAAAUACAAGAAGCUGUAAGCCGGAUACUCUACAGUUUUGCCACUGCCUUCCGCCGUUCUGCCAAGCAGACCCCACUUUCAGCCACUGCUGCACCCCAGACUCCUGACAGUGACAUCUUUACCUUCUCUGUGUCUUUAGAAAUAAAAGAAGAUGAUGGUAAAGGUUAUUUUAGUGCAGUUCCUAAAGAUAAGGACAGACAAUGCUUUAAACUACGCCAAGGAAUUGAUAAAAAGAUUGUCAUCUAUGUGCAACAAACAACUAAUAAAGAACUUGCCAUUGAAAGGUGUUUUGGUCUUCUCCUUAGCCCAGGAAAGGAUGUACGAAAUAGUGACAUGCACUUAUUAGAUUUGGAAUCUAUGGGCAAAAGUUCAGAUGGAAAGUCUUAUGUUAUCACUGGGAGUUGGAAUCCAAAAUCUCCACAUUUUCAAGUUGUAAAUGAAGAAACUCCUAAAGAUAAAGUGUUGUUUAUGACCACAGCUGUUGAUUUGGUAAUAACAGAAGUACAGGAGCCUGUUCGAUUUCUUCUAGAGACAAAAGUCCGGGUUUGCUCACCUAAUGAAAGGUUAUUCUGGCCCUUCAGCAAACGUAGUACUACUGAAAAUUUCUUUUUGAAACUAAAACAGAUAAAGCAAAAGGAGAGAAAGAGCAACACUGACACUUUAUACGAAGUUGUGUGCUUGGAAAGUGAGUCAGAAAGAGAGAGGAGGAAAACUACAGCCAGCCCCUCCAUUCGCCUGCCACAGUCUGGAUCGCAGAGCUCAAUGAUACCAUCUCCUCCAGAAGAUGACGAAGAGGAAGAUAAUGAUGAACCCCUAUUGAGUGGAUCCGGCGAUGUAUCCAAAGAAUGUGCAGAAAAAAUUCUUGAAACAUGGGGAGAACUACUGUCAAAAUGGCAUCUCAACUUGAGUGUGAGACCAAAGCAGUUGUCGUCCUUAGUAAGAAGCGGUGUUCCUGAAGCUCUUCGAGGAGAAGUCUGGCAGCUGCUAGCAGGUUGUCACAACAAUGACCACCUGGUAGAAAAAUACCGAAUUCUCAUCACAAAGGAGUCUCCUCAGGACAGUGCUAUCACCCGGGAUAUUAACCGGACAUUCCCAGCCCAUGACUACUUUAAGGAUACAGGAGGAGAUGGACAAGAUUCCUUAUAUAAAAUAUGCAAGGCUUAUUCUGUAUAUGAUGAAGAGAUUGGCUAUUGCCAGGGCCAGUCAUUUCUUGCUGCUGUUCUGCUUCUCCAUAUGCCUGAAGAACAGGCAUUCAGUGUUCUGGUCAAGAUCAUGUUUGACUAUGGUCUCAGGGAACUUUUCAAGCAGAAUUUUGAAGAUUUGCAUUGCAAAUUUUACCAGUUGGAGCGCCUCAUGCAGGAGUACAUUCCCGACCUGUACAACCACUUCCUGGAUAUAAGCCUUGAAGCACACAUGUACGCCUCCCAGUGGUUUCUCACACUUUUCACUGCCAAGUUCCCUCUCUACAUGGUCUUCCAUAUCAUUGACCUGCUGUUGUGUGAGGGAAUCAGUGUUAUUUUUAAUGUUGCCCUUGGAUUAUUGAAGACGUCGAAGGAUGACUUGCUUUUGACAGACUUUGAAGGUGCCUUGAAGUUCUUCAGGGUCCAGCUUCCUAAGAGGUAUCGCUCGGAAGAGAAUGCAAAGAGGCUCAUGGAAUUGGCUUGCAACAUGAAGAUUAGUCAGAAGAAGUUGAAAAAAUAUGAAAAGGAAUAUCACACCAUGAGGGAACAGCAGGCCCAACAGGAAGACCCCAUCGAACGAUUUGAGCGGGAGAAUAGGCGUUUACAAGAAGCGAACAUGAGGUUGGAACAGGAAAAUGAUGACUUAGCCCACGAGCUGGUGACCAGCAAGAUCGCGCUGCGCAAGGACCUGGAUAACGCUGAGGAAAAGGCAGAUGCACUGAAUAAGGAGCUGCUUAUGACCAAACAGAAGUUGAUUGAUGCAGAAGAAGAGAAAAGACGGCUGGAAGAGGAGUCUGCUCAGCUAAAAGAAAUGUGUCGGCGGGAACUCGACAAGGCAGAAUCUGAGAUUAAAAAAAACAGUUCUAUCAUCGGUGACUACAAGCAGAUUUGUUCUCAGUUGAGUGAAAGAUUGGAGAAGCAGCAGACAGCUAAUAAAGUGGAAAUUGAGAAAAUUCGGCAAAAAGUAGAUGACUGUGAGCGCUGCCGAGAGCUUUUCAACAAAGAAGGGCGCAUAAAGGGCGUCAGCGCAGCUAAGGAAGCUUUAGAUGAGGACACAGAUGAGGAGAAGGAGACGCUCAAGAACCAGCUGCGAGAGAUGGAACUGGAGCUGGCCCAGACCAAGCUGCAACUGGUGGAGGCCGAGUGUAAGAUACAGGACUUGGAGCACCAUUUGGGCCUUGCCCUAAAUGAGGUACAAGCAGCCAAGAAGACGUGGUUUAACCGAACACUGAGCUCCAUAAAGACAGCAACUGGCGUUCAAGGGAAAGAGACUUGCUGAGAGCAGCUGCGGCCUCCAGACACCGUCAGAAAACACAACACCUUUUGUUGCCUUCUUUGGCCAGAUGUGUGAUUCUGUGACAUGUCCCAGGACCAGAUGUACCUAAGUCAGAUUCCUAGAAGCAUAUUGGUAGGUCAUUGGCCCAGAGCUCCUGAAGCAGGCGCCUCUGGGGUAAGGCUCUCCUAACUACUGACACUAACAGGCCUGCCAGCCCAGCGGCUGCUCUGGACGCUCUAGGAAAUCACUCCCAGGCGACUCCCAGGCUCACCCAGCCCACAGGCUGAGCUGACAUGAUCAGAGUUGGGGGAACCCUUUCAGGCUGUUGGUUUUUUUUCUAAAUCUUUAAUUUUUUUUUAAUACACGUUAUAUAUACUGUGGCUGGGUGGGGUGGGGCAGAGGAUCAGGAACUCCAGUAAUUCUUACCUGCGUCAGUGCCAGCAGAGGGUCCUCUGGGUAAUGGAGAAGCACUUUGUUUUAAAGAGGAGGGUUUCAUGGGUGCAGUGAAGCAGUCUAGUUUUGUUAAACUAUAUGAUGCACAGGUUUUGGUUUGGCAUUUUUCACGUUUCAGAUCAAUUCUAUGCAACUCUCAUGGUUCCUGUUGUUUUUUAGUGUUAGCUGCCAAAAUGACUUCACAGGGCUGGGGUGGGUGACCAUGAGACUGAAUAAUCAUAAUGUGGACAAAUCUUAUUUUGCUCAAUGUGUCAUGUGUGUAUAUGUAUAUAUAUAUAAAAAUAUCUUUUCCCAAUGCCCCCAAAUGACAGUGUUUAAAUCCCAGACUAGGACUGAUCUGCACAACUUAAUUAUGUGGUUAUGUGGGCACUUAAUUUCACUAAGGUCUGUUGGGUUCUGCUCUCCUCCCUGCCGUUCUGAGAGUUGUGACAAGCUCCCUCACUUCGAGAUUCCAGGUGUUUUGCACAACAGAUUGUGUAAGUGAGGAGGACACUGAGCUCUGUGUGUGUCUGUGUAAAUGUACAUGUGGGACGCCCAGGCCCCAUCCUGCUGGCCCGUGUCCUCCCCUGGAGUGUGGCUGGGUGCAAACCUCGCUGUUUAAAUGGGCUGCAAGUUCUCGCUCCAAAACUAUGGAAUGGAGGUUUUAGCACCUUUUUUUAAACAAACAAACACAGACUUUUAACUUCUAUAGUGAUGUGCCGGCAGGCUGUCUUGCAGAUGGUUCGUCGCCGUCUCUGCGUGGUUGGAGGAAGCUGGUUACAAGAGGCGCUGGUUUGUAUGUAGACACUUGGGUUGUUUUGUAUCUUUUCCCAUUGGCUGUACUGACGCUUGCUGAGGUCAUCUGUGUUAACGUGGAGGUAACAAGUGGCAAGCCCUCCUCCCACCUUCCCCCACCACUUUGUGUCUUUCUUGUUCAGUUACCAAAACAGCUGUAAGCCCGUCUAAAUCUAGGUGCGUGGACAUUGUGUUAGGGUAGUCUUAGUGUGUUAACUUUAUGAAUUGAAAUAUAAACCAGUAAAAUUGUAUUACUAUUUCUUCCGUUGGUUUUAUUUUAACAGCAUAUUCAUUAAAUAUUUUGGUACAAACAGCAUUGCUUUGUAAAAACCAGUUUUAUCAUGUGCAGCAUCUCCCCAACCCCCACUAUCAGAGGUGUGUGAGCCGCAGCCACCUCCAUUCAGACCCUUUGUAAGCGGCUGAGGUGCCAGGCCUAUGGGGUGAGAAGACACAGGCUUCGUCUUCAUCGUGAGCAUUGCCCCUCUGAGAAAUAGGCGAGGCACUAUUUGUGUGUUUGAGGUUUAGGGAAAUCAUAAGCGUGUAAUUAAGCCUUAAAAGACAAAAGCAUCUCACCCGGCUGAGAUGGAAGAGUGAAUUCCCGCCCAGAAUGUGAUUGUGCUGGAGAAACAGCUGAAGAGCAGAAAGGUAGGCAGAUUACCUGGGGUCCAGGUCUGCUCUGCUGGAACUCAGAAGUGGUGGCAUGGACAGCCAGCUUGAAAAAGUUGCUUUCUGUUCACUGGGAGCCACCCCACACCAGGGGAUGAGGCUCCCAUACCCUGCCGUCCUUACCACCCCACCCCUUCUCUGCAGCAGGAAGAAGAACAGUGCUCCCCUCUCUGCGUCGCCUGCCUGCCCUCCAGGACCUCAGCUACUACACCCAGGCUUUGGAGGAAGUGGGUUGAGAUGCAGGCCACAAAGAAGGGAAGGUGCACCCUGUAAAACAAGUCGACACCUUCCCAUUGGCUGAAGACCAUGUCCUACAGAUGCUGAAUUAAAUGAGCUCCAGCCCUUGUCCUGGCAAAGAAACCAAAAAUGUCACUUUUUAAAAAGCACAAGGUUCCUGUAUGAACAAACGCCCAGUACCUGUCAUUCCCUUGGACUGGUGAGCCCAGCAGAGCAGAAACUCGGGGACAGA